AACUAUUGACAAUCAGAUAAAAGCAUAGAGAAAAAAUUGCAGAGGCAACAAACUACCAUACAAAAUUACGCUAAACUAGAGAAUUCACUCUAGAUCCAUAAGAGAAGCAGCCUCAUCACUCAAACAAACAUCCACGGAAAUCCAAGAACUCAUUAAGCUGCGAAGCAAAGAACCAAAAAAGAAAAGAACUCUUCAAAAGACAAACAAAAGUC